UCCCGUUGAUCCUGCGGGAGGUCGCUGCUAUUAGGGUUCGAUUAAGCCAUGCAAGUCAGGUAGCAAUACCGGCGAAAUGCUCAGUAUCACGUCAUUAGUCUGCCCUUAGGUCUGGGAUAACCUCGGAAAACUGAGGCUAACACCGGAUAGGAGAAUUACACUGGAAGGUUUUUUCUCUCAAAAGCAAUGCCUAAGGAUGAGAUGGCGGCCGAUUAGGUUGUUGGUGGUGUAAAGGACCACCGAGCCUAUGAUCGGUAGGGGCCUUGAGAGAGGUAGCCCCGAGAAGGGCACUGAGAUACUGGCCCUAGCCCCACGGGGUGCAGCAGGCGCGAAACCUUUACAAUGCACGAAAGUGUGAUAAGGGAACCCUGAGUGCUUUGCUUUAAGUAAAGCUUUUUUCAAGGGUAAAUUCCUUGAAGAAUAAGUGGUGGGCAAGACUGGUGCCAGCCGCCGCGGUAACACCAGCGCCACUAGUGGUGACCACAAUUAUUGGGCCUAAAGCGUCCGUAGCCGGCAUAUUAAAUCUUUUGUGAAAUCGUUGGGCUUAACUCAUCGGAUUGCAGAAGAGACUGGUAUGAUUGGGACUGGGAGGAGUCAGAGGUAUUGGUGGGGGAGCGGUAAAAUGUUAUAAUCCCACUAAGACCACCUGUGGCGAAGGCGUCUGGCUAGAACAGAUCCGACGGUGAGGGACGAAAGCUAAGGGAGCGAUCCGGAUUAGAUACCCGAGUAGUCUUAGCUGUAAACGCUGCGAGCUAGGUGUUGCAUAUUCUUCGAGAUUAUGCAGUGUCGAAGCGAAGGUAUUAAGCUCGCCGCCUGGGAAGUAUGGUCGCAAGACUGAAACUUAAAGGAAUUGGCGGGGGAGCACUACAAGGGGUGCGGCGUGCGGUUUAAUCCAAUUCAACACGGAGAAUCUCACCAGAGGCGACGGCAGGAUGACGGUCAGUCUAAAGGGCUUACCUAACGAGCCGAGAGGUAGUGCAUGGCCGCCGUCAGCUCGUGCCGUAAGGUGUCCUGUUAAGUCAGGCAACGAGCGAGACCUGUACUCACAAUUGCUAACAGCUAAUUUAUUAGGACUGAGCACAUUGUGAGAACUGCCUUGGAAACAAGGAGGAAGGUGCAGGCAACGGUAGGUCUGUAUGCUCCGAAUCUUCUGGGCUACACGCGCGCAACAAUGGUAGAGACAAUAGGAUGCGACUCUGAAAAGAGAAGCUAACCCCAGAAACUCUAUCCAAGUUCAGAUUGAGGUUUGAAACUCAACCUCAUGACGUUGGAAUCCCUAGUAAUCAGACGUUAUCAGCGUCCGGUGAAUAUGUCCCUGCUCCUUGCACACACCGCCCGUCAAACCACCCGAGUCGGGUCUUGAUGAGGCUUGGUUUUUAACUAAGUCGAAUCAAGGCUCAGCGAGGAGGGUUAAGUCGUCACAAGGUA
rnacentral:rRNA from 1 species